UACAGAGGUCUCAAGCGUUGUUCGGAUUCAUUGGGCGUAAAGGGUGCGUAGGUGGCGCUGUAAGUCGGGUGUGAAAUUUCGGAGCUUGACUCCGAAACUGCAUUCGAUACUGCGGUGCUUGAGGACUGGAGAGGAGACUGGAAUUCAUGGUGUAGCAGUGAAAUGCGUAGAGAUCAUGAGGAAGACCAGUGGCGAAGGCGGGUCUCUGGACAGUUCCUGACACUGAGGCACGAAGGCCAGGGGAGCAAACGGG
rnacentral:rRNA from 1 species